GACGAACGCUGGCGGCGUGCUUAACACAUGCAAGUGGAGCGACGAACCGGGCUUCGGCCCGGGCAAAGCCGCGAACGGGUGAGUAACACGUGGGUAACCUGCCCCAAUGAUCGGGACAACCCGGGGAAACCGGGCUAAUACCGAAUGUGCUCCCACCACAUCACGUGGUGGAUGGAAAGGAAGCUUCGGCCUCCGCAUUGGGAUGGGCCCGCGG
rnacentral:rRNA from 1 species